rnacentral:rRNA from 1 species
UACAGAGGUCCCGAGCGUUUGUUCGGAUUCAUUGGGCGUAAAGGGUGCGUAGGCGACUUCCUAAGUUUGAUGUGAAAUCCUGGGGCUCAACCCUGGAACUGCAUUGAAUACUGGGAGGCUAGAGUACUGGAGAGGAAACUGGAAUUUACGGUGUAGCAGUGAAAUGCGUAGAGAUCGUAAGGAAGACCAGUGGCGAAGGCGAGUUUCUGGACAGUUACUGACGCUGAGGCACGAAGGCCAGGGGAGCAAACGGG